UUGUGUUUUUUCUUUCAGAGGCUGGGCGUGGCUUAUUGGCUGCUGGAGCUCUCUGCAGUCACUCACCUGAUCGUCAUCAGUAAUCACCGGCUGCAGCAUUUAGACCCUGGUUCACCUCUCCCAAGCUGCCAGAUUAUUUCCGCCUACACCGUGUGCCUCCAACCAACGAGCUCCAUCACCUCACCACCCAGCCUCUCAUUCAAGCCUCACCAGCCUCACUUCAAUAAAUCCCCCUUUUACCCACCA